rnacentral:rRNA from 1 species
AUUCCAGACUCCUACGGGAGGCAGCAGUGGGGGAUAUUGCACAAUGGGGGGAACCCUGAUGCAGCGACGCCGCGUGGGUGAGGAAGUACCCCGGUAUGUAAAGCCCUUUCGGCAGGGAAGAAAAUGACGGUACCUGGCGAAGAAGCCCCGGCUAACUACGUGCCAGCAGCCGCGGGAAUACGUAGGGGGCAAGCGUUAUCCGGAUUCACUGGGUGUAAAGGGGGCGCAGACGGCGAUGCAAGCCAGGAGUGAAAGCCCGGGGCCCAACCCCGGGACUGCUCUUGGAACUGCGUGGCUGGAGUGCAGGAGGGGCAGGCGGAAUUCCUGGUGUAGCGGUGAAAUGCGUAGAUAUCAGGAGGAACACCGGUGGCGAAGGCGGCCUGCUGGACUGCAACUGACGUUGAGGCCCGAAAGCGUGGGGAGCAAACAGGAUUAGAUACCCGGGUAA